UUCCUACGGGGGGCAGCAGUGGGGAAUAUUGCACAAUGGGGGAAACCCUGAUGCAGCAACGCCGCGUGAGUGAAGAAGGUUUUCGGAUUGUAAAGCUCUGUUAGCAGGGAAGAGGAAGGACGGUACCUGCAGAGGAAGCCACGGCUAACUACGUGCCAGCAGCCGCGGUAAUACGUAGGGGGCAAGCGUUAUCCGGAUUUACUGGGUGUAAAGGGAGCGUAGACGGCAGCGCAAGUCUGGAGUGAAAUGCCGGGGCCCAACCCCGGAACUGCUUUGGAAACUGUGCAGCUCGAGUGCAGGAGAGG
rnacentral:rRNA from 1 species